GUUCUUUUGAACAGUUCAUUUCAAAGAACAUGCUGAAGCCGGCUGCGUAAACUGUUUAGAUUCUUACUAAUCUAGCCAAAUUCACUAUCUUCAGAAAGAAGAGACUACAACAGGUGACAGAAGUGUCGCCAACAAGUAAGAUUUUGAAUGAAAGCAAACAAAAAUACUUUUGUUAAACUAUAAGAUAAGUUUUAAGCAUGUUAGUUUCAAAGUCAGUCCUUUUGUAAAUCACAUUUGCAUUUACACACACACACAGAUAUACACACACAUCAGCGUGUGAAACAACGUCUCUGCAAUAUCAAGUCGAGGCUUCUGCAGAAAAUCUCCAUCAUCAU
rnacentral:lncRNA from 1 species